GGAAAAUUCAAGGAGUCAGGAAAAUUCAAGUUAAGGAGUUUUAAGCAAGCGAGGUUGAGUAGUGAUGACGGCGAGCGGUGUUGAGCACAUACAAAUGAAGAUCCUUCGAUAGAAUAGUACUUGGAUGCGUCGUGUCUUCAUACACGAUGUCAUCUGCUCUUGACUCUUCCGCUGCAAUGUAAAAGUCGAGUUUACAUUUUUUGUAUCAUGCACUCUGAUAUAUAUAUAUAUAUAUAUUUAUUAAA